CCUACGGGAGGCUGCAGUGAGGAAUAUUGGUCAAUGGGCGCGAGCCUGAACCAGCCAAGUCGCGUGAGGGAAGACGGUCCUAUGGAUUGUAAACCUCUUUUGUCGGGGAGCAAAAGACGCCACGCGUGGCGUUCCGAGAGUACCCGAAGAAAAAGCAUCGGCUAACUCCGUGCCAGCAGCCGCGGUAAUACGGAGGAUGCGAGCGUUAUCCGGAUUUAUUGGGUUGAAAGGGUGCGCAGGCGGGAGAUCAAGUCAGCGGUAAAAUUGAGAGGCUCAACCUCUUCGAGCCGUUGAAACUGGUUAUCUUGAGUGAGUGAGAAGUAUGCGGAAUGCGUGGUGUAGCGGUGAAAUGCAUAGAUAUCACGCAGAACUCCGAUUGCGAAGGCAGCAUACCGGCGCUCAACUGACGCUCAUGCACGAAAGUGUGGGUAUCGAACAGGAUUAGAUACCCUGGUAGUC
rnacentral:rRNA from 1 species